AGGCACUGAUGGAAAGGACCCGAUUAAAACCCUCAGAUUUCUUUAGGUACAUCCAACUCAGGGACUUCGCACAACACAACCUGGCAAAAACGGCAGCUCAUACUACACGGGCUUCGAACGAAUGUGCCUCAGAAAACCCCCCCCGAAGGGACUCAUCACCUCUCUAUACGCUCACCUAAGCUCCAAUUACACAACGCAGUGGGAAUCAGACCUAGGUGAGGUCCUGGAGGGCACGGACUGGAGGGAAAUAUGGGAAGCGAAUAAGGCUACCUCAAUAUGCGUCACACAGAAAGAACAAGCAUACAAAACCAUGUUUAGAUGGUACACU